GAUGAAGAACGUAGCGAAAUGCGAUAAGUAAUGUGAAUUGCAGAAUUCAGUGAAUCAUCGAAUCUUUGAACGCACAUUGCGACCGCCAGUAUUCUGGCGGGCAUGCCUGUUCGAGCGUCAUUACAACCCUCAGGCCCCCGGGCCUGGCGUUGGGGAUCGGCGGAGCCCCCCGUGGGCACACGCCGUCCCCCAAAUGCAGUGGCGGUCCCGCCGCAGCUUCCAUCGCGUAGUAGCUAACACCUCGCUACUGGAGAGCGGCGCGGCCACGCCGUAAAACACCCAACUCUUCUGAAGUUGACCUCGAAUCAGGUAGGAAUACCCGCUGAACUUAAGCAUAUCAAUAAGCGGAGA
rnacentral:misc_RNA from 1 species